CCGGAAUGAGUAACGAUAAAGCAGGUGAGAAUCCUGCUCGCCGAAAGCCUAAGGUUUCCUGGGGAAGGUAAAUCCGCCCAGGGUUAGCCGGUACCUAAGACGAGGCCGAAAGGCGUAGUCGAUGGAUAGCGGGUUAAUAUUCCUGCGCCACACAUGUGGAGCGAUGGAGGGACGGCAUCCGAAAAACAUGCGGACGGCUAGAAAUGUCCGUUGCUCCGGACCAAGAAUGGGGGUAGGCAAAUCCGCCCCAACAGGUUCAAGGUCCGGAGCUAACAGCACCUAUGAUCUGGAUGAUGUUGGCAGGAUGUCCAAGAAAAGCUUCUAAGCUUUGAAACACGUGUGACCGUACUAAAACUGACACAGGUAGGCGAGACGAGAAGUCUAAGGCGCUCGGGAGAACGGUGAUUAAGGAACUCUGCAAAAUGGCCCCGUAAGUUCGCGAUAAGGGGCGCCUACGCAAGUAGGCCACAGAAAAUCGGCUCUGACGACUGUUUAUCAAAAACACAGGACGCUGCUAACACGCAAGUGGAUGUAUAGCGUCUGACGCCUGCCCGGUGCCGGUAGGUUAAGGAAGGCGGUUAGCUCUUCGGAGCGAAGCUGGCGACCGAAGCCCCGGUAAACGGCGGCCCUAACUAUGAGGGUCCUAAGGUAGCGAAGUUCCUUGUCGGGUAAGUUCCGACCUGCAUGAAAGGCGUAACGAUCGGAGCACUGUCUCAAUCACCGACCCGGUGAAAUUGUAGUCGUGGUGAAGAUGCCACGUACCCGCGGUUAGACGGAAAGACCCCGUGAACCUUUACUGUAGGCUGAUAUUGGGUUGAGGUAUGGCUUGUGUAGGAUAGCUGGGAGGCUGUGAACUGGGCGCGUCAGCGUUCAGGGAGCCGUCGGUGAAAUACCAGCCUGGCCAUGCUUUAAUUCUAACCCUAUACCCUGAAACGGGUUAGGGGACAGUGUCAGUUGGGCAGUUUGACUGGGGCGGUCUCCUCCUAAAGAGUAACGGAGGAGUGCAAAGGUCCACUCAGCCUGGUCGGCAAUCAGGCGUAGAGCGUAAAGGUAGAAGUGGGCUUAACUGCGAGACAAAUAAGUCGAGCAGAUACGAAAGUAGGCCUUAGUGAUCCGGUGAUUCCGAAUGGAAGGGUCAUCGCUCAUCAGAUAAAAGGUACUCCGGGGAUAACAGGCUUAUCGCAUCCGAGCGUCCACAGCGGCGAUGCGGUUUGGCACCUCGAUGUCGGCUCAUCACAUCCUGGGGGUGAAGAAGCUCCCAAGGGUUUGGCUGUUCGCCAAUGAAAGUGGUACGUGAGCUGGGUUCAGACCGUCGUGAGACAGGUCGGUCCCUAUCUGCCGUGGGCGUACGAAACUUGAGGAGAUUCAACCUUAGUACGAGAGGAUUUGGUUGGACGUAGCUCUGGUGUACCAGUUGUCACGCUAGUGGCACGGCUGGAUAGCUAACUACGGAAAGGAUAAACGCUGAAAGCAUCUAAGCGUGAAGCCCGCUCCAAGAUUAGGUUUCGUAAGCGCGUAAGCGCGAAAGUCCCCUGGAAGACUACCAGGUUGAUAGGUCAGGUGUGUAAGCACGGUAACGUGUUCAGCUAACUGAUACUAACGGACGAAUACUUGACCAC
rnacentral:rRNA from 1 species